rnacentral:rRNA from 1 species
ACUAGCACUAGCCCUACACAAUCUAAACUCAACUAUCAACUCUAAUUAAAACAAAACAUUUACCAAGAUAUUAAGUAUAGGAGAUUAGAAUUUUAAAUAGACGCUAUAGAGGACAGUACCGCAAGGGAAAAAAUGAAAGACUCACCAAAAGUAACAAAAAGCAAAGAUUAAUACUUGUACCUUUUGCAUCAUGAUUUAACUAGACCAAGCUAGCAAAAAGAAUUUCAGUUAGCCACCCCGAAACCAGACGAGCUAUUUAUAAACAGCUUCACGAGCAAACUCAUCUAUGUGGCAAAAUAGUGAGAAGAUUAAUAAAUAGUGGUGAAAAGCCAACCGAGCCUGGUGAUAGCUGGUUGUCCAGAACAGAAUAUAAGUUCAAACCUAAAUUUACUAAACAAAUUACUAAAUUCAAAAGUAAAUUUAAGCAAUAGUCUAAAAGGGGACAGCUUUUUAGACAAAGGACACAACCUUGAUUUAGAGAGUAAGCCCAAGUAAACCCACCAUAGUUGGCCUAAAAGCAGCCAUCAAUUAAGAAAGCGUUCAAGCUCAACAAAUAAAUAAACCCUAAUCCCUUUAUAUAACCGGCAAACCCCUAAAACACAAAACUGGACUAUUUUAUUAAUAAAUAAAAGAAAUACUGUUAAUAUGAGUAACAAGAAUCCAUUCUCCUUGCACAAGCUUAUAUCAGAACGAAUACAUCACUGAUAGUUAACAACACAAAGGACAUAAACUUAUAAUUAACUGCCCUUAUAAACAAUUGUUAACCCAACACUGGAGUGCAAUACCUUAAAGGAAAGAUUAAAAAGAGUAAAAGGAACUCGGCAAACACUAACCCCGCCUGUUUACCAAAAACAUCACCUCUAGCAUGACCAGUAUUAGAGGCACUGCCUGCCCAGUGACUAAAGUUAAACGGCCGCGGUAUUCUGACCGUGCAAAGGUAGCAUAAUCAUUUGUUCUUUAAAUAAGGACUUGUAUGAAUGGCCACACGAGGGUUUAACUGUCUCUUACUCUUAAUCAGUGAAAUUGACCUUUCCGUGAAGAGGCGGAAAUAAUAAAGCAAGACGAGAAGACCCUAUGGAGCUUCAAUUAACUAACCUAAGGAUAUAUACACCCAUAAAGCCUACUAAGGCAACACUACAAAUUCUUAUAGGUUAGCAAUUUAGGUUGGGGUGACCUCGGAAUACAAAAAAACUCCCGAGUGAUUUAAUCCAGACUUACAAGUCAAAAUUACUAUCACUUAUUGAUCCAAUAUUAUUGAUCAACGGAACAAGUUACCCUAGGGAUAACAGCGCAAUCCUAUUCAAGAGUCCCUAUCGACAAUAGGGUUUACGACCUCGAUGUUGGAUCAGGACAUCCCAAUGGUGCAGCCGCUAUUAAUGGUUCGUUUGUUCAACGAAUAAAGUCCUACGUGAUCUGAGUUCAGACCGGAGCAAUCCAGGUCGGUUUCUAUCUGCUACACACUCCUCCCAGUACGAAAGGAUAAGAGAAGUAAGGCCUACUUUUCAAAAGCGCCUUAAGGGCAACAGAUGAUAUAAUCUUAAUCUGAUAACCUAUGAUAACACACUACCCAAGGAACAGGGUUU